UCAGGGUAAAUUUGAAUUUGUCAUUGUGUGAUUUAGCUCAUUUUUAUCUUGUUACUCUGUAGGCCAAGAAGUUAAAUUUAUUGGCUUAAAUGGAUCAGCAUGCAACCAUAUGACGGGAGGGCAGACUGAAUUGAGUCAUAUUCAAAAUAAUGUGAGGCUGAAUUUGGUGAAGGAAGGCUGAUUGGGUCGAGUCAUAAUCGAGAUUUGUGAACGCUAUGUCUAUAUACUUUAAUUUAUUAGUUGUAUCUUUCUAACAGCUCGAACUUUUGGAAUCAAUAAUUAGCGCCAAAGAUCCAACAGUACUUAACUACUCUGAAAUUUUAUCUCUAAUUUUUUUUAAAAAAAUUACUAUCAAGUAGAUAUCAAAACAAAAUUUCUUUCAUAACCACAAAAUAGUUAAAUAU
rnacentral:lncRNA from 1 species